rnacentral:rRNA from 1 species
AGAGUUUGAUCAUGGCUCAGGACGAACGCUGGCGGCGUGCUUAACACAUGCAAGUCGUGCGGAUAACGGAAGUCGGUCGUCGGAGGUCAGAAGUCAGAUAAAGGAGGAAAUUGCCAGAGCAAUUUUUAGUACCUUGUCCGACAUCCGAUUUCCGACGACUGACCUCCGUUAUUAGCGGCGGACGGGUGAGUAACACGUGGAUAACCUGCCCGUUAGACCGGGAUAACACCGGGAAACUGGUGCUAAUACCGGAUAAGCUCUUUAUAGCAAAAGCUUACAAAGAGGAAAGGGGAAACCCGCUAAAGGAUGGGUCCGCGUCCUAUUAGCUAGUUGGUAGGGUAACGGCCUACCAAGGCGACGAUGGGUAGCCGGCCUGAGAGGGUGACCGGCCACACUGGGACUGAGACACGGCCCAGACUCCUACGGGAGGCAGCAGUGGGGAAUAUUCCGCAAUGGGGGAAACCCUGACGGAGCAAUGCCGCGUGAGUGAAGAAGGCCUUUGGGUCGUAAAACUCUGUCUUGAGGGACGAAAAAAAUGACGGUACCUCAAAAGAAAGCCCCGGCUAACUACGUGCCAGCAGCCGCGGUAAAACGUAGGGGGCGAGCGUUGUCCGGAAUUACUGGGCGUAAAGGGCGUGCAGGCGGCCUGUGUAGUCAAGCGGUGAAAACCCGGGGCUUAACUUCGGGAUGGCCCUUGAAACCAACAGGCUUGAGGACAGGAGAGGGGAGUGGAAUUUCCGGUGUAGCGGUGAAAUGCGUAGAUACCGGAAGGAACACCAGUGGCGAAGGCGGCUCCCUGGGACUGGUCCUGACGCUGAGGCGCGAAAGCGUGGGGAGCAAACAGGAUUAGAUACCCUGGUAGUCCACGCCGUAAACGAUGGGUGCUAGGUGUUGGGGGGUAUCGACCCCUCCAGUGCCGCAGUUAACACAAUAAGCACCCCGCCUGGGGAGUACGACCGCAAGGUUGAAACUCAAAUGAAUUGACGG